UACGUUAAUGAGACAUGUAGCUGAAGAUCACAAAAGAGAGUUAAAUAUUGCACAAGGUGGUGGGGAUGUUGGUGAGCCAACGCAAACUAGAAUGGACCCAACAACCGGUCACGUAGCGAAGAAGUAUAAUAAAUUGAGGGACCGGGAAGAAAUAGCUAAAAUGGUAGCUGUGGGUUAUUUGCCUUUUAGCUUUCCUUCUUCUGAUGUCUUUAUUCGUUAUAUACAAGAAAUUUAUAAUCCUAUGUUUUACGGUAUUCCUAGAACUACUUGUCGGUAUGAUAUUUUUAGACUUCAUUCACAAUAUUGUUUUUAUUUAUCAACAUUGUUAAAAAAUAUUCAAUGUAGAUUGUCCCUAACUUCUGAUCUUGGUCGUGCUGUAAAUAAAAAUGGUUAUUUAACCGUUACUUGUCAUUGGAUGAAUAGUAAUUUCGUGAUGCAAAAACGUAUUCUUGCUUUUUUAUAUGAUGAAGAUCGUAAACAUACUGGACAAUUUAUUGCUGAUUCUAUUGUUAAAAUUGUCAAAUAUUAUGUUAUCGAAAAUAAAAUUUUAUGUAUUGCUUUUGAUAAUGCUUCUAACAACAAGACUGCUAUAAAGAACUAAAAUCUACGCUAUCUCCGCUCGUGCCUGAAAUUUUUCAUAUUAAGUGUGCAUGUCAUAUAUAUAAUUUAAUUGUAAAAGAUGGUCUUGAGUUUUUUGAGUUUUAUAUUGAAAAAAUUUGUCUUGCCGUUGAUUUUAUUCAAGGAAAUAAUCGUAGAUCGAGAAUUAGAGAAUUUAAAGUUAAAUGUCAAGAAAAUGGACUUACACCGAUUUUGAUGCCUGAGGAAAUUGAUACUAGACAGAAUUCUACGUAUGAAUUUUUAAAAACUUGUUAUAAAUAUAGAAUUCCUAUUACACUAGCUUUUAACCAACAUUGCGGUUCAUUUACUGAUUCUGCUGAUUGCAUGCUANNNNNNNNNNNNNNNNNNNNNNNNNNNNNNNNNNNNNNNNNNNNNNNNNNNUUUAUGUAGCUACGGUUGAAUUUUUCGGUGCUUAUUAUCCUACUGUUUGUAAUAUUUUGACAUAUAUAGCCGAUAUUUCUGGUUUACUUAAAGAAUAUAAAAAUAAAGAAGGUUAUAAAGAAGCUGUUGGAGCCAUAUUUACAAAAUUUAAAAAAUAUUUUUUCCCGAUUCCUCCUAUUUACUUGCUUGGUGCUAUGCUAAAUCCAUGCAUGAAAUAUAAUAAUAUGUGCUACUUUAGUACUCUUAUUUAUACUAACUUAGAAAUAAAUACUAACCAUGAUUCUGAACAAGUACAACCUGAUUUGUGGAAGGCUACGGCUGAUGCAAAGGAUUACAUAGAAAAAUUAUAUAAUCACUAUGCUGAUUUAUUUGAUUUAGCCGUACCUACAAAUAUCACUCCAACUGUCGCUCCUCAUCCUCCCGAGGAGACAUCAUCUUUUAAAAGGCCGACACAUAGUGGUUUUUCUGAUUCGUUUUAUGAUUUAAAUUGUUGGAACAGUGUUGAUGAGAGAACUUACACAUCAACUUAUCGG
rnacentral:lncRNA from 1 species